rnacentral:rRNA from 1 species
AAACGACUCUCGGCAACGGAUAUCCCGGCUCUCGCAUCGAUGAAGAACGUAGCGAAAUGCGAUACUUGGUGUGAAUUGCAGAAUCCCGUGAACCAUCGAGUCUUUGAACGCAAGUUGCGCCCGAUGCCAUUAGGUUGAGGGCACGCCUGCCUGGGUGUCACG